GUGGGUAUAGCUCAGUGGUAGAGUGUGCGCUUAGCAUGCAAGAGGUCCUGGGUUCAAUUGCCAGUAUCUCCA
rnacentral:tRNA from 1 species